rnacentral:rRNA from 1 species
UACGGGGGGAGCAAGCGUUGUUCGGAUUUACUGGGCGUAAAGGGCGCGUAGGCGGCCACGCACGUCCGUUGUGAAAUCGCUCGGCUCAACUGGGCGGGGUCAGCGGAUACGGAGUGGCUGGAGCAAGCUAGGGGGCAAUGGAAUUCCCGGUGUAGUGGUGGAAUGCGUAGAUAUCGGGAGGAACACCAGUGGCGAAGGCGGUUGCCUGGAGCUUUGCUGACGCUGAUGCGCGAAAGCGUGGGGAGCGAUCCGG